AAUAAACGUUGGCGGCGUGCCUAACACAUGCAAGUCGAGCGAGAAAGUUCCUUCGGGAGCGAGUACAGCGGCGGACGGGUGAGUAACACGUGGGAAUUUACCUUUUAGUGAAGAAUACUCUCGAGAAAUCGAGGUUAAUGCUGCAUACGUCCCUUCGGGGAGAAAGAUGGCCUCUUUGCUGUCGCUAAAAGAAUGAGCCUGCGGACUAUUAGCUAGUUGGUAGGGUAAAGGCCUACCAAGGCGAUGAUGGAUAGCCGGCCUGAGAGGGUGUUCGGCCACAUUGGGGACUGAGACACGGCCCAGACUCCUACGGGAGGCAGCAGUGAGGAAUCUUGCGCAAUGGACGAAAGUCUGACGCAGCGACGCCGCGUGGAGGAUGAAGGUCUUCGGAUUGUAAACUUCUGUUAAGCGGGAAGAAAAGCGUAGUUAUAAUACAGCUACGUAAUG
rnacentral:rRNA from 1 species